rnacentral:misc_RNA from 1 species
UCACAAACUUCAUGAUUAUCAUUAGUCUCGUUCGUAUGCAUUUGAAAAAUUUCAAUCCUUCCUCUGUUAUUUUGCAGAGGUAAUCUGUGUUUUUGCUUAGAUAAUAUAUUUAGGUAUGAGUGAUAUUGACAAAAUGGAAUUAGCUUUGGUCCUUUGUCGAGGUGAGUUAAGGCCAACUUUUAAUCGGUAUUGCUCUUCUAAUUGAGAUAUGACAGUCUAAUUCAUCCUUACCUACAUUGUCUGGGGGUGUCCUUUUAUUUUAAAGAUGUUAUGUGUUGUCUAUUUAUUGAAUCUGAUGCUUUAUCUUUAGGUUGUGCAAUUCGACUAGUGAGUUGGAUAUGAGAAAAUCACUUCAAAGAUGAAACAUCUGGUUUACUGUGUGUUGGAUCCCCGUUUUUUUUUGCUGUGACAUCCUUCAGGUUUGGAUUCCGCUUGGUCCGUUUAUAGUCUUGCUACCGUCUGUUGUUCGUGAUGCUUCGGCGUUGCACUCCUUGCAUUACUCGUUUCAUGGUGGUGGUUAAAUGGCUUAGUAUGUUGACGGUUAUGAUUCACGGUGGCAGGAGGUUCGAAUUUGUGUUGGUAUUUUGUGCUAAUAUGCUGUUUUCUGUCUUCAGGUCUUCUGCGGUGGGGAGGUUAGUGUUUCUAUUGUCAGCGGCGCAUCCCAAGAUUGCCUUGCAUUUUACGGGUGGCAUAUUCACCUGCUUAGGUUGGUUGCUACCCUGAAUCUCACUUACUCCUUUCCUCAAGUGAUGGAUGUGGACAUUUUUGAUGGAGUCGGUGUGCAGUUUUCACGUUCCCUGUUGGACGUUUUCUAAUGAUUCCUGCCAAGCUGUAGGUCGCCCCGUUACCGAACUGUUUGCGUCAAUCGGGUUUCGCUGAGGUGCGUUGUGGAUUUUUUUACUGGGCUGCUUCCCUAGGAGGCUUCGUCCGCUUUACCCCCUUGAGACCAGUAUUGCCACCGUUUGUUCGUAAUUAGGGCUGAGUGUGCAGAUUUCUUUGGCCUGUUUGCUUCAUGUUGAGUGUCUGCUGUGUUAGAAUGGGUUAAGGUUAUAUGGGAAGAAAAACUCCGAAAGUAAAAAAAAAAGUAGUAAAUGAUUUCUGGAAGGUGGAGAUGAUAAAUUAAUUUCCAUUAAAUUAUUUUAAUUGUCCUUCUAUUAGCCGUCACACGUUCUAACUUUUAAUUCUUAUUGCAUAUAUUGCAUAGUCUUCUAUUUGCUGGGUGAUAUUCCAUCGCUGAACUUGUAAUAUAAUUUUUGUUUCUAAGUAAUCUGUAAUUGAUAGCUCAGUAUGACGCAUCCGUUAUACACGAUGGCUCUGCAAUAGGAACAUUACUCCAUUUGCGCUCACUGAAAGCAUUAGUUGACUAGAUAGUAAGUUCUUUUGGGAGAUCUUUAAUAUUCGACUUCUUUCAAGUUGUUUGUUUUCGAAUUUCAGAUCCCUACUGAGCAAUACGUUUUCGUGAUGCUGAAUCGUUUACGUGGCUUUUAGGUAGUACAUUUUUCUUUAGAUAUCGUUUUUACCACUUGACGGUUUUAAAAGAGAAAUUUAUAGUUGUUAC